AAAACGGCUUUUAUCAAAGCCAAAAAUUUCCUGCCGGAAUCGGUAU
rfam:Parcubacteria (Azambacteria) bacterium GW2011_GWB1_42_72 TV45_C0029, whole genome shotgun sequence.